GGCUUUGUAGUGAAAAUUUCAUAGUGAGUUGCAAGCUCAUUGAUGCACGUUGAGAGUGCCAGAGCCU
rnacentral:tRNA from 1 species